rnacentral:rRNA from 1 species
UGCGUAGGCGGAAAAUUAAGUCAGUGGUGAAAUCCUGCAGCUUAACUGUAGAACUGUCAUUGAUACUGAUUUUCUUGAAUAUAGUUGAGGUAGGCGGAAUGUGUAAUGUAGCGGUGAAAUGCUUAGAUAUUACACAGAACACCGAUUGCGACGGCAGCUUACUAAGCUAUUAUUGACGCUGAGGCACGAAAGCGUGGGGAGCGAACAGGAUUAGAUACCCUGGUAGUCC